GCCCCGCAGGGGAUGGAGCAGCCCCGGGGCGCUGCUGGGGACAGCGCUUUAAUCGCCAUUGUCUCAGCUCGUUCAGCAGACAGGAGCGCUUGGCGUUGGCAGCACGCUUCCUCUUCCCAGCGUGGGAGCUGUGGGAGCCUGUCUGCGAUGGAUUCGGCACGGACUGACCCGGGUGACUUCACCCGCCCGCCCGUGGGGUCCAUCCCGGCGUGGCACAGGAGAGCACAGAAAAACGCCGUGGCGUUGCUGUCACAUAAACCGGCACAUGGGAUCAUUAACUCCGCUCCAGAUCGGGGUUACAGUGGCCAGACUGCUUGGCAGAGAGAAACUGGCUGGCGGGUUCCCGUCUCUGUGCCCUAAUCUUACUUACUCAAAACUAACUUUGCCAAGCAAGGGUUAUUUCACUAAGUGAAGCGACCAUGUCAAGCUUAUUUCUGUAAGGUGAACUUGGCGUUGCCUUGUACAGUACAAACAGGGCGUGAAUUAGGAGAAUAUUAAUAUUAUUAUUAUUAGAAUUCUAUUUAUGCUAUUUUUCUAAUCUAAUAUCUUGUUUACAGUGGGAUUUUGAACAGUUCCAGCCCUCAACAAAAGCGAUUAGUAGAGGCACACCAAGGCCAUGCACGGGUUUAGACAAAUAAACCAUACUCAGUGUCAACAUCUUUUGUGGUAGGACUGAUGCAGACAGGAUCUGCUGGCAGCUGUGCCAUGGUUUGUAAGUCAUCUCCCAAGCUAAACGUGUCACCUCUGCCAGGUAACCACCUCCAGCACAGGGAAGUGUGAGCGUCAUGGCUUGGCUGCAUGUCAGGCUCAAUCUGACUGUUCAUGGCUCUCCUCCUUUACCAGCUGUUCCCUGGUGCCAGCAGCGAGCAAAGGAUUAGGUGGCAACAGUUUUGUAAACUGCCAUGGCAAGACUUGCCCCUCAGCUUCUGUAGUUCCAGUAAAGAAUAAGCUCUUCUGAUACAAAUUGCAGAUUUUGUUCUCCAACAGGGGCUUGCUUGUGCUAGGACAGGCAAAGCUGGGCCAGAAGACUUCUGCAGACAGCUGCUCAGCUUUUCUGAAAAAGAAGGGCAGAGCUUGAUGCUGGAAAGGAGAGCUCCUGAAAUGCAGAUCCAAGCUAGUUCCCUGAGAAAUACUCCCGUUAAUUUCAGUGAGGAGCAAAGUUUGAGGACGCUGCUGAAGAGCCCAGACCUGCACACCAGCUGCAUUUCAGCAGCUGAAGUGCCAGCACUACCCUGGCUUUAUAUUGAGGUAGGGCUUGUGGUGAUGCAGCUGCCUUCCUGCUCAGUACCACACGCCCAUCCUUGCAUUCCCCUGUAACUCCCCAGUAAUUUGUACUUUCGGGUUGUAGAAAUGUUCUGGAACACGUGAUGUGUACGCCAUGACUGGAAGGCUGGCUGCUUUGUGGUUCUGGCAAAAAACUGGGCUGACUCCUGUAAAAACAGUGCACUGACACCCUCAAAGGUACACAUAGAGGUGUUGCAUCUUGUCUCCAUCUCCUCUCAUUUUCUCUGCUCCUCUUUGACUCUUUCUUCUGCCUUCUCCCAGGCCACUGUCAUUUUCAUUUCCUUCCCUGCUGCCUUGGACAUUUGAUCUAGACUCACAAAUGUGUCAGAGUUCUUCUCCUUACACUUUUCAAAGCCUGUUUUUCCACCUUUGUUCUGUAGACACAAAUCUGAAACCAGUGUAACUUCCUGUUGCUGGAGCAUCAAAGGUAUACAAAUUCAAGAUACAAUAAAAAAAAAAUACUGUUCAGA